AUUGAACGCUAGAGGGAUGCUUUACACAUGCAAGUCGAACGAGUGGCGGACGGGUGAGUAAUAUAUCGGAACGUGCCCAAUAGAGGGGGAUAACUCCUCGAAAGAGUGGCUAAUACCGCCUACUAUUAGCGCGGCCGAUUACGGAUUAGUUAGUGGGUGGGGUAAAGGCUGACCAAUGCAACGAUCCGUAGCUGGUUUGAGAGGACGACCAGCCACACUGGGACUGAGACACGGCCCAGACUCCUACGGGAGGCAGCAGUGGGGAAUUUUGGACAAUGGGGGAAACCCUGAUCCAGCCAUCCCGCGUGUAUGAGAAGGCCUUCGGGUUGUAAAGUACUUUUGGCAGAGAAGCGGUAUCUGCAGAAUAAGCACCGGCUAACUACGUGCCAGCAGCCGCGGUAAUUC
rnacentral:rRNA from 1 species